AUUAUACAGGAAUGUUCUGAGGAUAUUUGAGAUGGCAUCUAGCUCGCAUUAACUCAGCAAUAGUUUCCAAGGAACACAAAACAGUCCAGUGACAUGAUCCAGCCUCUCAGCCUUACAGAUCAUGAUGUAGAUUAAGUGCCCAAGACUUUCCUACACACAAAUCUUCCUACAGCCAAAGCAACCCCUCUUAUUGUUCUCUUCCAGCAACUUCCAUAAUUUAUGAGGGAAUUAGCCCAGUAAGCUAGGUUAGGUGUUCUCCAUAGUUUUUUCAAAGCCUUGAGAAUACUCAGGGGUCAGGGACAAUAUCUGUGGGCACUUCUGCCAAAGUACCAGUUUGUAGUUUCUUAUAAUGUGGCAUCUUAUUGAUCUCCCUUCACCCUUGACUCCUUUUACUUAACCAUUUUCCUCAACUCUCCCAACCAGAUAACAAG
rnacentral:lncRNA from 1 species